UGGGGAAUAUUGGACAAUGGGCGCAAGCCUGAUCCAGCAAUGCCGCGUGUGUGAAGAAGGCCUUCGGGUUGUAAAGCACUUUUAUCAGGAGCGAAACGCUGUCGGCUAAUACCCGGCGGAACUGACGGUACCUGAGGAAUAAGCACCGGCUAACUUCGUGCCAGCAGCCGCGGUAAUACGAAGGGUGCAAGCGUUAAUCGGAAUUACUGGGCGUAAAGCGUGCGUAGGCGGUUUCUUAAGUCUGCUGUGAAAUCCCCGGGCUCAACCUGGGAAUGGCAGUGGAUACUGGGAGGCUAGAGUGUGUCAGAGGGUGGUGGAAUUCCCGGUGUAGCGGUGAAAUGCAUAGAGAUCGGGAGGAACAUCAGUGGCGAAGGCGGCCACCUGGGACAACACUGACGCUGAGGCACGAAAGCGUGGGGAGCAAACAGGAUUAGAUACCCUGGUAGUCCACGCCCUAAAGCGAUGCGAACUGGAUGUUGGUCUCAACUCGGAGAUCAGUGUCGAAGCUAACGCGUUAAGUUCGCCGCCUGGGGGCUACGGUCGCAAGACUGGAACUUAAAUGAAUUGACGGGGUCAUAGCUGUUUCCUG
rnacentral:rRNA from 1 species